GACGAACCGUGCGAACGUUGUUCGGAAUCACUGGGCUUAAAGGGCGCGUAGGCGGGCUGUCCAGUCUGGGGUGAAAUCCCGCGGCUCAACCGUGGAACUGCCUCAGAUACUGACGGCCUCGAGGGAGAUAGGGGCAUGCGGAACUGUAGGUGGAGCGGUGAAAUGCGUUGAUAUCUACAGGAACUCCGGUGGCGAAGGCGGCGUGCUGGAUCUCUUCUGACGCUGAGGCGCGAAAGCCAGGGGAGCGAACGGG
rnacentral:rRNA from 1 species